AGGAAUUUGAACUUGGUCGUUGCACAUUCCAAAGACCUCUGUAAGGGUUUUCUGACUUUGGGACUAUAAGCAGCAAAGGGUAUCCACGGAAGGGCUAUGUGACCUUAGGCGAGUCCCCUAACCACACCAAAGAUUAAAAUAGUGGAAUGGAAAGAUCAUGUUUGUGAAACACUUGUCAGAGUGCUUGCUGUCUGGUGGGACCUCAUUAAAAUGUAGAGGUUGCCGCUGCCUGAACUCCCUUUCUGCAGGGUCUGCCUUUCUGCAGGAGGAUGCUUGGGAAGGGAUGGAUUUCUGAGUGUUCUUCCUGCCUGCCAGGCCCACAUUCACUUUAAGCUGUCAGUUCAUAGUUGAAAGCGCCUCUUUGUUCCCCUUGCUGAGCCAAUCCAGGCCUGUGUGUUUGAAGCUAGAAAGAAAUCUUUCCUCUCGAGCCCUACUCCAGAGACCAAAUCUUUCUCUUUUAAAAUACCCGGACACAUGCUAGCUAGCUAGCUAUUUAUUUAUUUAUUUAUUUAUUUAUUUAUUUAUUUAUUUAUUUAUUGCCAUCCGAAUGUUAAAUUGAGGCUUUUGGUCGAAACUCAGUCUUACGCCUACUUGAAAAGCCAACAGGCUCAUUGGGCAGCCGACAAAGCUCUCGGGAUUUCCCCACUGGCAGGGGAGAGUACAGACAGGAAGCCAGGGACCCAGCGCCUGACCAGCACUUCCUCAGGGGAGGCUGGAGCUCACUCUGUCUUGCAACGAACUGUCUAGACCCUGCAGGCCAUUGUAUCUGUAGUCAGCAGCCCACCUGGAUAAGAGAGGGUCCCCUGCGGGCAUCUGCAUGGAUCUAGACUCUGUUGGCUUUAAGGUGGGAGCUGCUGGCUUUUGCCCUGAGAUGCUGACACUGGCUGGGCUGGAACCUUCUAUUCCGGCUCAGCCACUUCCUCCCUUGCUGCCACGAGGAGGGAAUUGAGAAGGGACUUUCCAGAGAGAGUUAGCUCGCAGGGUGUGGAAUGGAAUAAAAGCAUAUGCAAAUUUGCCUGUGAGUUCCUUCCUCUGCCCCAGUGAGCCAAGAGAAAGAUGCUCUUCUGCAAGGCCCUUGCCAUCUCUCUUCUCUCCCUGGAUGGCGACAGCGGGGGGUCCGUUGGAGUGGUAACACCAGCUAGGCAGCCAUGGCAAGGGGGUGGGGAGUGUAGGAUGAAUGGGAGGAAGUAGCAAAAUGAGGGGUGGGGAGAAGAAGGAAGGUCAAAAUUGGAAAAGAUAGGUAACCUGGAAUUUGAGCUCAGAGAACAGGAGUUAGAGAAAUAACCAUUGCCAGCUGUUUUACUGUGCACCUAUCUUUUGUCUGAGAGUCAGCUGGCUUUUGUACAGUGGAUGACUGCAGAGCAAAUGGCGCAUUAAAGAUUCUAAUCAAGAUGUUCAAGGCGUAGUGAGUGACACUAGAGUUAAAGCAGGUGAGACUUGUCAUGGGCUGUAAAUAUACAAAUGUCAUUGGCUCAGAAAUAUUUCCAGUAAUAGAGUUAAAGCAUGGGACGGUUUCUGAAAGGAAAAUAAUUUUAAUCUUUUGUUACUUGGGUGGGAUGGCAGUGUGGGUGAUACAGUAGUAUGCUUCCUUAAAUCCAUUGUGGCUCCUAUUUGGCAAGUCACCAACUUUCUUAUAGUGACAGUAAUAAGAAAAUCUUACAUUGUCAAAUAUGGAGCAUGGGGGGUACAUGGGAAUUAAGACAUAUAAUUUUGUUUAUUGUACGAAUGUUUUCAAUCUCCUUCAGUCUUGUCUGCCGAAGGAAUUUUUUUUUUUACUUUUCUAAAACAUUUUUUUUCUCUGUUAAACGACUUGUAUUUUAAUUGACAGUAAUGUAACGUUUCUCUCAUGAAACCCACGGGCCUCCGGGUUAUUUAUUACAACGUUUUCUUGGCAUUUGAGAUGUUUCCAGUCAAUGUUGUUUUACUCAUCUGUUACUGUUCAGCUUUGGUUUUUGUCUCAGACUUUUCUGAUUGCUGAUACUCUGUCCUCGAGUUCCCGGUAUUGUAUUGGGCUUUUGAGCCGAAGCAACGUUCUUGUUAUUAAUUAUUAUUACUAUUAAUCUCACUGCUGCACUUACUCACUGUUUGUGUAGGAUAAGCACUGAGGAUCUUUGUGGGAGAACUCGGAGGGAGCAAGGGACGUUGAAUCUCUGACUGGGGUCUGCUCAGACUGGAUUUUCUUGUGUUGUUGGAAGGUGGAGGAUUAGCCUCUGGCCCUUAAUUUCAGAUAUUAGAAGGCAGGGGAUGAGGUGAGGAGCCACUGGGGCUUCUGGUGAUAUAACCUUGGUCUCCUCAUCUCUGAAUUCCUAAGCUCCACUUUCUCUAAGGCACCGGGGUGGGGAGUCAGGAAUGUACUUCCUCCGCUCAGGCAGUGUUGUUUCCUCUGACUGUCAGCAAUUUGUGUUAUAGGGUGUGGUUCCUCAGAGCCAGCUUUGGGCACUUUUUGAAUCGUGAUCAUGAUUCCUCUCUCAGAUUGUUCUAGAAUCUGGCAGGAUUUUCUUAUUUGGCCUCAGCUUCGAUCCCAGUCAAUAAGAAAUUUGUUUUAAUAAUAUAUGGUACCUGUUUAUAAUUUACAAUUGGUAAAGUGAUUCCAUGUGUUUUUUCCUAUAACCCGUCCAUGAAAUCUGGAAGGUGAAGCAUGGCGGUGAAAUUGUCGCAUCAUGGAGAACUUACUAGAUAUUUAUUGCUUGGAUGAAAUGUACCCAUUUGGUUGCUAAAGAAAUGGAGACUUAAGCAGAUCAAGCUAUCUAUCCAAAGCCUCAUUAUACAGUAGGUAAAAUCACACUUGAUUUUACCAUGCCACACUAGCUCAGAUAGUGUUGAUAACACACACACACACACACACACACACACACACACACACACAUUUGAGAUGGUAUCUUACCUCGUAGCCCAGGCUGGCCUGGAACUCACUGAAUAGACCAAGCUGCCCUCAAACUCACGGCAUUCUUUUUGCCUCAACUCCUCAAUUCUGCAGUUGCAGACUUGAGCCACCAGGCUGGGUUUUCUGAUCACCAUUUGCUCUUCAUUGUGCAGAAAGUUAUCUUUUGAUUCUGUAAGAGAGGACUGUUGUAAAAUCAUCUGUAUACUCCAUUAGCUGUUUGACUGCUACCCGGCCACAGGCCAGUUAAAUCAAAAGAGAUAAGGUGUUGAGACAAAGAAAGUAAUUAGAGAAAUGUUAGUUCAGCAGGAAGAAAGACAGACUGGUCACAAACCCUUCUUGGGUGUGAGGGAUUCAGAGAUCAUAACAACUUUUAUACAAAAAGAAGCUACAUGCCAACCAAGGCUUCCUCACCUAGUUUUUUCUCUCUCUCUUCAGAGUUUCACUUGCGUAGACCAGGUUGGCCUUGAACUCACAAAAAUCUGCCUGCUGCUGCUUCCCGAGCGCACAGAUCAAAGGUGUGCGCCGCCACAUCUGGCUAGAUAUCUCUUUUAUUUUUUUUCUGAAUAUCAGACUGGUCCCUGUUCUACGAGGGUUUGCUUCUUCCUUUCUUUCCGUGGGCAUCGCUAGGGUUUGAACUCACAGCUUUCCACCUUCAUGAACACUAAGCAAACACUCUACCACUGAGUUAUAUCCGGAACCUUUUUCAUGUUUUCUUUGAGAUAGGGUCUUGCUAAUUGUCAACGUUGGCAUAAAACAUGCUUCAUAGCUCAGGCAGGCCUUGAAUUUGUGAUCCCCAGUCUCAAGCCUCCCAAGUAGUGAGAUUACAGUUUAUUUAGCAUUGGGGGUUGAACCCAGAGCCUCACGAAUGCUAGCCAAGUAUUCUACCAGUGAGCCAGCUCCCUGGCUUUUGUGUUUAUUUUAGGCAGACACACUGCCUUCCAGGGAGUUAAUUUACAUGCUUUACACCAUAUUGAUGACUCAAUAAAGUCUACUUACCUUAGACUGGGGAGAUGACUCUACCCAUUCUGUGUUCUUUAAAACCAAAGAAAGAUUAUGUCUAAGUGAAUGUCUUGACUGUCUAGGUGGAGCUUUCUAGCAACGGGAGUCAAACAAUUUCAAAGGAGUAGUCCUCAACUAUGGGGGUAUCCCAUCUGAGCAGUGGCAAAGUGACUUGUCUACCACUCUAUACGGAACGUUCUUAGAUUCUUUAUUGCCAAAAAUCCCAUUUCCUUAGGGAUAUAGCUACUUAGAUCUGGUCCUUGGUAGAGUGAAGCCCCAAGUUCAUGGUGGAAAACAAUUGGCUCUCUUAAGCUUGUAGUAUGUCUUGGAGGUUUGAGCAUGAGCUUUAGAGUCCUCAGAGGAAGUUAAUUGCAGGGGUUUAACAAAGGAAGUGUGUUGCCUUGUUUCUUUGGGCCAUUGGGUGGGUCAAGAAGUGUUACUAUUUUGGGGCAGCCUAGUAUUCAGGGGUCAGCAGUGUUUGCCCUAUGAACAAUGUCACUAGUUGUUCCCACUGCCUGAGAAAAUGUCACUCAUAUUAGUUCAGGCAUUAAAUCAAAAGAAAAGAGUUCGGUUGUAGCAAAAUUAGACUCUUAGGUUGGAUGUCUGUGCUCACCAGAGAGUCUUGAAAAGGCUACAACCAGCAGCAGAGAGAAGGAAAGACCACUCUAGGCUAAUUAGGGAGAAGUAUCCAUGGGAUUCUGUCAAGGGCUUGUCUUUUUGACUUCUGUAGCCAGAGAUUCAAAGUUUUGUCUGUGAAGUUUCUUCUUAGAGGAGUGUUGCACAAACAGUUGCAAUGGUUCUUUUUUUAAACUGAGCUGAACCUCUUUGCACAUGUCUGUGUCACUACAAAGGGCACCUCAAGCCUGUCUUGGUGUUCUUGAGGCUUUUCGAGCCUCACCCAAAAAGGCCUUCUUUAAGGGGUGGUUAUAAAGAGUAAUUUUAACCUUCACUUUGGAACUGUUGUUUAUUUGCUUGUGUGUGUGUAUGUGUCUACAUGUUCAUGUAUGUGCAUGUGCAUGUGCAUAUGUGUUCCUCAGGAGCCAUUGUUUCUCCCCACACCUUUUUUUCUUUUUUAUCUUCUUUUUAUUAAACUGAAACCUUUUGGUUUUGUUAUUAUUAUUUUUCUUAUCAUUUUAUGUGCAUGGGUGUUUUGCUUGCAUAAAUAUCUGUGUACCAUGUGCAUGCCCAUAGAGGCCAGAAGAGGAUGUUGGGUACUCUGGAACGAGAGUCACACACAGCCAUGACCUGAAGGUACAGAGAAUCAAACCUGGGUCCUGUGGAAGAGCAGCCAGUGCUCUUGACUGCUUCCAAAGGAAGGACUUAGAUGACGCCAUCUUGGAUCUUUGGAGUCCGGCUCGCACAGGAACUUUGUGAAGGCACACAGGCUGAAGGAAAAACCGAAAUGGAGGUGACCUCUCAUUUUGAUGCACACCACAGGGAUGAGAGUGUAGGUAAAUGAAUUUAAGAACCCCAGAUAGCAUUUACUCCGCCUCCUUUCUCGAAAAAUCUCUGGACUAUCUUCUAUGAUCCAGGUGUGUUCUCGAAGCUGGGGACAAUAUGGAACCAAGACCUACCCCUCACCCCCAUAAAAAAGGUUAAAAGUAAGCUUUUGUAGUCAGAAAAAAAGAACCCCUGGAAAUAUGAAUCAUAUGAUGUAUUUAGAGUAUAUAAACAGUUCUUACAAUUUAAUAAUAAAGAGACAAACAGCCCAGUUUAGAAGUGGCAAAAGAUGCGAAUAGAUUUUUUUUUUCUGUUCAAAGUAGCUGUGCGAAUGCAGUAAAUGGAUGAAAAGGUGCUCAACCUCAUUAGCCACCAGGGAGAUGCAAAUCAAAACCACAGUGAGGUACCGCUUUGUACCUACCAGGAGAACUGCAAUCAAAAAGUCAGACUGUAGCAAGGAUGUGGAGAACGGAAGCCCCAGACCCUGCUGGCGGAAAUGUCAGAUGGUGUAGCUGCUUUGGCAAAGAGUGUGAGAGUUCUCUAAAGGGACACAGGUUAAUGUAACCCCACCAUUCUACUCUUAGGUAUAGAGUCAAGAGAAAUGACAGCAUGUAUCAGCACAGAGCUGAGAAUGGUCACAGAAACAUCUGUAGCAGAGAAAGAGUAGAGAUGGGCUGGACAGAGGGCUGUGUUUAAAAGCACAGACCAUUCUUGCAGAGGGUGCCAAGUUUAAUUCAGCACCCAACAAUUUGUAAAUUUAGCUCUAGUGGACUCUGUUGCCUCCUCUGCCACCUGCAUUCAUGUGCACAUAUCCACACAUGGACACACACACACUUACACAUACUUUAAAAAAACAAUAAAAAUAUAAAUAUUUAGGAAAAGUAGAAAUAAUAUGAAUGUCCAUCAACUGCUGAUGGAUUAAGAAACGUAGACUUUCCAUAUAGUGGAAUAUCUUUCCCCAUUAAAGCCGUAAAGUGAAUUAAACACUGGUACACACACUAAGCCACAGAUAAACUUUGAGAACAUAAGAACAAGAGACCACACAUGACUGUAUUUGUUCAUUAAAAAAUGCUCUUAAUAGGCAUUUAUAUGUUAUAUAUUAAUUAUAUUAUUAUAUGAUAUAUAUAUAUAUGUAUAUAUAUGUAUAUAUAUAUAUCUCCUAGAGAUUGAGUAAAUGUACUUAGCAUAUAGUUUAGGGACGAUUAAAACAUUCUUAGAUUAACUAUAGUGACCAUCAAACAACUUCAUGGUAAUAUUGAAAGCCAUUGAGUUCCACUCUUUAUGAGUAGGUGAAUUCUAUAGUUGUGAGUUCUAAAAUAAUUUGUUGUUGUUGUUGUGGGGAAUAUUUUUUUUUCUCUCAGAGUCUUACUCUAUAACUCUGGUUGGUCUGGAACCCAUAAGGCCACCCAGCAUGGCCUUGAACUCAGAAAUCCUCCUGCUUCAGCCUCAAGAGUGCUAGGGUUACGGGAGCAUGCCAUUGUGCCUAGCUUCUGUUUAUAUAAUUUUAAAAAAGGACUAACAUGGGUGAUGCCCUUGUGAAAAUAUAACUUGUUUGGGAGAUGGUAUUUAUCAACAAUUACAUCAAAAGCUGUAUCAGUUAGUUAUAAACUAUGGUCUGUUCUAUGAAGGGAAGGAUUGGACAUGACUCAGGAGAAUGGCAGGUGUCCCCGGGGGAUGGAGAAGAGGUACUAGUGAAGCUGUUGCACUCAAUGACCCUUAAAUAGCAGUGGUUUGAAAGGGGAAAGUCCUGUUCUUGCUGGUGGGAAAAAGUACAGUUUUAAAGAUCAUCGAGUGCAGUGCCAUGCUCCACCGUGGGCGGUGCAUGGCCCACAUUGCAUGGGUUGAGUGCAGCUGCACCGUGUCCUCUGGCCCCAUGUAGAACUGGGUUACUUGAGGCUGGGAAAUGAGGUUUUUAUGCCAGGAGUUUGUGUACCCUGGGGGCUCUGUGAACACACGAGAGACACAGGGUUACUGUUCGGUCAUCUCUGCUAUUGAUGGUCUGGCUGAGGAGGUGAUACAGUGGGUGAGGGCCUCAGGAGGACAGUUUUCCAGGCCAGGGGCACAUGUGUAAAGGCACAGUGGGGGCAGGAAAAACCAUCUGUCACAUUACUGGUUGCUUUUAAGAAAAUCUUGCUAUGUAUUUCAGGCUGUCCGUGGAUCCUCAGUCCUCCUGAUGCAGUUUCCUCUGUGCUGGGAUUACAGGGUGGCCUCAAAUUGACAUUCUUCACAUGCUUCACAUGACUUCACAUGCUGCAGGCAUGUGAGUGUUGAGGUUACAGGCCUGUACCACAUGCCCAGCAUGCUUAGUGACUACUUAUGACUUUGCCUAUCUGUGUCCCAGAUCCAUAUGCAUCAAGAAUGUUCAGUCUGCAGAGGGAGUGCCUCUGGAUUUAUCAGAGAUUUCUCUUGUCUUUACAGGGCUGGCAGGAUCUGACCUGUGAGGAAGGACCAGGCCUUACCUGGAGAGUCUGUGUGUAUCCUCAGCUCUGAGAACUGAAUUCCAUGGGUUAUAGCAAUGUCAGACCUGUGAAGUUCAGUUCUUUAGCUGGGAUAGCUCUAUCGUCAUGGACCUGAGGAACACCGUCUAGGACAACCUCUGAAGGCUUUCUUAUUCUGCCAAGGAACUUGAAGAGUGGAGAGAGUGGGGUGAAGGAUGGGACUGGUGGCCCCACAGGGAUCCAUGUUCGAUUGAUGUGUGUUCUAGUUUCAUUUCUGUUGCUUUGAUAAAAUAUCUUGACAAAAACAAUUUAGGGGAGGAAGGGUAUUUAGAUUGUAAUUCCAAGUUAUAGCCCAUCAUUAUAGGGAAGACGAAGUAGGAACUCGAAGCAGCUAGUCUUAUCCACAGACAAGAAGGAAAAGAGACCUGGACAUUGUGACACAUAUCUUCAUUCCCAGAAUUUUGGCUGGUGGCUCUCUGAUAGGCCAGCCUGAUCUGCAGAGCAAGUUCCAAGCUAGCCAAAGCUAUAUAGUGAGAUUGUGUCUCAACAAAGAAAAAGAAAAAAAAAAAAGGAGAAAAAUAAAGAGGAAAAAAAAUUCAUACACGUUUACUGGUACUUGACACCCCCCCCCCCCAUACUUAAAGAGUCUAGGAUCACCUGCCUAGGGAAUGAUGCUGCCUACAGUGGGCUGAAUCUUCCUAUGGUAAUUGAUAUAAUCAAUAUAUACACCCACUGAUAUACAUAGGUCAACCUGAUCUAGAGGGUCCCUUACUAAGACUCUCUCUAUUUGAUCCCAGAUUGUAUCAGGUUGACAGUGCUGAGCAAUGUAGUGUGGAAAUUCCUCCUCUGUUUGGGAAAAGCUCAGCAUCCUAUAAACAGCCUCACUGAGUGAUUCUUGCUUCAGUGACUUUUGUUUACAUUUACUGAUGAUUUAGGAUGAGUCAGGUAUGAAGGGGACUAAGUACUGUGCAUGCUGUUAUAGGAGACUCUUGGGAAACACCAUUUUAAUGAAGCUUGAGACACACAGCAUUACCAAGCAGUGAUUUUCCAGUCUCUUUAUGGGACCAGAUGGAAUUAAUUGUAUGUGACAAUUAUCCUUUAGCAUGAUCUGCUGAGGUAUCUGGCUGCUUUUUCAGAUAUGUAGCUCAAAAGGAUAAAGAACACAUCCUUCUUAUGACCCCUUAUUCUGUUUAUUUCGACCCAUUUUGUACCCCCAAACAAGACAAAGAAGUUGUAAUUAGACUCCACUGUAACUUCCAGUUUCUUCCAGGGACGAGGAUUAGGAAGGCUUAGAAAGUCUAUUUGGACACAUAGUCCAUGAAAUGUUGGGGCUCAGGUCUUUGUAGAAAGGCAGUAGAGACCUCUGUCACCAAGUAUGUUGGGUCUGUUUUGAGAGUUAGGCUUGAUUUGAUGAUGAUGAUUUCUGUUGGAUGUAGUAUCUGGACUUUAUUAAGCUUUUGACUUGGCAAAGAUUUAGGAAUGGCCCUGUCUUUUGGGAAAUCCUCUUUGACUCAUUGCUAUGCCUUGGUGUCCUGGGAUUUCCUUCUCACUCUUGUCUCUGAAUGAAAAGAGAGGGAGGCAGCGUGAGGUGGGAGACCCUACAGCGUGCACAUGCUCAGUCUUUCUUCCCGGGGACAUAGGCAUUUACUGGGUACUAGCUCUUAAAUUCAGGGCUUUGCCUGUGUGAUCUCAGUGAAUUUUACUAAGCCUCAUCUCUGUAACGUGGAUAAGUCAACAAAAGGAUUUUUUUCUGUUGCUAUGAUAAAAUGGCCUGGCAAAAAUAACUUAUGAAAGAAAGGGAUGAUUUUGGCUCACAGUUGAAGGGUACAGUCAACCAUGGAGGAAAUCGAAGCACCAGAAGCUUGAAAGCUACUGGUCACAGGACAGCUGCAGACAAGAAGGGGAGAGCUGCAGAUGUUCACAGCCCACUUUCUCCUUUGCAUGCAGUCCAGGACACCACCCAGGGGAGGGUGCCACCCUCCUUUAUGGUGGUUCUUACCACAAUUAACUUAGUCAAGAUAGUCCCCUCACAGGCAUUCUCCAUGGGUAACUUAAUUUAAACAACCCCUUAUAGGGAUGACUGGAGAUAAAUCUCCUAGAUAAUUUCAGAUCUUGUCAAGUCGAUACCAAAAGACCCAGAGCCAGACUCUCUAUAUAUGCAGAGCAUGAGAGACCUCAGAACAGUCAACCUUGAGAGGAAUGUCUCCAUAAAAUCCCUCCUUUCUGGUUCAGGGAACUCUGGGGAAGAGGAAGCUGAAAGGGUGUAGGAGGCAGAAAAGAAGGAGGACACCAAGGAAUCAAGGCCUUCUAGACACAACAGGGCUGAGAUACAGUGGACUCACAGAAGGAUGGCAGCCUGCAAGGGGCCUGCUUAGGCUCUGUAUCAGAUAGGGUUCUAGAGCUAAGAGGAGAAGUGGGCCCAUGGCUCUAACCCUAACCCAGAAGCUAUUUCAAAUAACAUCUACUCACAAAUGAAAGAUUAGUGUUUUCUAAGGAAGUCUUCUUAUGGGGAAACAAAGCACUCUCGAUCUCCACGCUCAGGAGUAAAUAGAUGGCCAACACAAAACCAAUUCAGCAGUAUGUUUCAAGGUUCUUUGUCUUAUAAUGUGUAAACCAGGGCUUUUUUGUUUGUUUUAACCAUACAGGCCUGUUGUGUAUGUAUUAAAGCUUCUGAUUUUGUGUUUGUUUCGGAUUCCUGCGUGGGUGAAUGAGUUUCUGCAUCUAUGAGUUUCUUGGGCUUUUUCUUGGGCUCUUUUUCUUGUUUGGUUGUUUUGUUUUAUCCUGAUUUUUCUCGUUUUUGAUUUAUUAUCACUUCUUAGAUGCCUGUUUGUUUUCUAGGCAGAGACAGAAAGGGUGUGGAGCAGGAUGGGAGGCAGGGCCAUGGGGAGGAGCUGAGGGGCAGUGGAGGGAAACUGUAACUAGAAUAUAUUGUAUUCUCAAUGCUCUUCUGAUGGAAAGGGGUUGCUUGGUGAUUGGUGCCUGGGCUCUACUGAUCGAAUCAAGGCCUCUCAACCCCCUCUGCCUGCUUCCAUCCCGUGCUUAUCCAAUCUUUAGCCAGGGACUUGUCCUAGAAUCGCAACUUUGGCAAAUCUCAGCUGAGACCAGAGGUCAGUGUUGACACCCAGAUUGCAAGGGAGGAUUAGGAUUUAAAUCUGAAACUCCCAGGGCCCUGGGCUCAGUGCUUCUGUGUGACUGGUGCCCAUGACACCUAGAGGUCUGCCUUUCUAACAGAGGCUGAUCUUAUCACAGUUGAAUCUUCCUGAAGCUGAGGGACCAACCACAGGCUAAGCUCUACCGGUGAGGAGUCAAUGGGAAUUUACAAAAUAAAGGAUGCUUCAGGCUCAGGGUGUAGCUUAGAGGUUGCCUACCAUAAUCAGCAAGGUUCUUGGUUCUGUUGCCAGCUCUGCAAAAAGAAAGGAAAACGUUUUAGUUGAGGUAUGGGUUAAGAUUUCAUUAAGUAAUCGAUUUGCUAAGGAUUUUUGUUGAUUUAAGGUUGUAUUUGCUUUAUCAAAACUUACUUUAGGGGCUGGAGAGGUGGCUCAGUGGUUAAGAGUGAAUCCUGCCUUUUUAGUUCAGUUUCAGCACUUACCUGCUUGUGACUAUAGCUCUGGGGGGGAUGCAAAGCCUUCUUCAGGACUCCGUGAGUAUCUGUGUUCAUGUGCUCAGACCUACACAUACAAUAAAAAGAGAUUUAUUGUGUGUAAGCGGAAAAGUCAGGUUACCCCAAAGGUCAUAUUCUGUUUGAGUUGAUGUGUGAUUAUAAAUUAUAGGCUACUAUGAGAUGUAGAAGUAAGUAUAUUGAAAGACGAUUAUCAGUUUAUUAACAGAGACUUUUUCUCUAGGGUAAGACUUGAGAUUCACUUUCUUUUCUUUCUUUGUAAUUUUCUUUAUGGUUUGACCCUUACUCUGGGCAUUUGUAAUUAAAAUAAAUUACUGUGGAAGACUUCA